rnacentral:rRNA from 1 species
UACGUAGGUGGCAAGCGUUGUUCGGAUUUACUGGGCGUAAAGAGCGCGCAGGCGGUCGUUCAAGUCGCGUGUGAAAGCCCCCGGCUCAACUGGGGAGGGUCACGCGAUACUGAUCGACUCGAAGGCAGGAGAGGGAAGUGGAAUUCCCGGUGUAGUGGUGAAAUGCGUAGAUAUCGGGAGGAACACCAGUGGCGAAGGCGGGUCUCUGGACAGUUCCUGACCCUGAGGCACGAAGGCUAGGGGAGCAAACGGG